CAUGACAUGGUCCAAUCUUAGUUUCAGAGACUGAACGGAGGACGAACUGGAGGGCACAACCUCCCCAGCGGACAAUGGCCAUGGUCCGUAUGUGAGGUGAUGAAGACCCGCACCAGGGAGGCAGCAGUGUCUGUGGAGAGGCUGCAGUGGUGACCUCGAUGGGCCUUGGCACCAGCUUGGAUCUGGGGCCACAAGCAUGCUGGGAGGCCUCAUCCCCUCUCCCAGACACUGCAGUGUCUUCUCCUGGACAACCUGUCCCCAGAGCUUCCUUUUCCAAGGUCCCUCCACACAGACGGCCACAAAGCCCUCUCCAGCAAGCACCGGUCCUACCUGGCAGAGGAAGCGGCCUGGCGUCUGAUCACCUCAAGAGCAUCGGGCCCAGACCCCUCCAAGCAGCCAGACCGGCUUCCUUCCCUGCACUAUCCUCAAGGGCUACUCUUGGAAUUCUGGACCCAGGGCAGCGGGGUGACCCUCUAAGAGCUCCGCAAAAUGAGGUCCUGAUCUUCACACCCCCAACUUCAAGGGGAGGUCUGAGGAAACGGCUUUGAGAGCCCUGGAAUGCUGCAGAAACCACAGUUACAGUCAUGACGGAGAUAAAAAAGUGAAAACCAGAGCAGGAUCCUCCUUGGCCAGCUCUCCAGGAAUCACACCAGCCUGCCUGAAGGGGUUAUCUCACUGACCAAGCAUCACCCAGGAGAAGAAACAGCAGAGCUGGAAACAAGGAGGGAUGAGCUCGGGACGAGCGCAUCAGCCCAGCGUCCUUUUCCCGUCGCAGCGUCCGAGAGCCUUUCCGUUUGCCGUGGGGCGCUGCUGGGCUGCGGCGGCGUCUGAUUCCCGCGGCGGCGGCCGCCCCGGGGCCCAGGGCUCUGCCCGCCAGCGCUCCGCAGGGUGAGAAGAGGAGCUGAGCACACCCUGAGAGACCCACAGAGUGGAGACCGGCCAACGGGGCAGGACUGAGAGCUGAGAGAACCCCAUCCGAGGAGAGUCUGCAGCCUUCACAUAAAUGGACCAAAUCAACGGGCCUGCCGAUGUCUGCGGAGACCAGGUCACCUCAUUUUUCUAUGAAACCCCUUACGUCUCAGCAACACAGGCCAAGAGGAAGCUCCAAUCGGAUUUAUUUUAUUUAAUGAUCCGGAGGAAGGGCACGGCGAAUAUAAUUCAAUUCUACAGACGAGGAUUGAGUGCCUCAUUGGUACAGGGCACUCUGGGAAGCAGCAGAGUGGCCCGCCAAUGAAAGUCCGUCACAGGGAGCCGUCCCUCCGCCAGAUCUCCUCCUGCAGUGCCGUCUAUUCCCCCAGACACCGCCAUUGGCUCACGCCCUCUGCGAGAUAUUUGGGAGACAGGGGGGAAAGCAAAGGGGUUGCUCCCGAGGACACUGACACCCUCGUGUGUGUGAGCGCACACACACACACAUACACACAUAAAAAGUAAAUGUAAAGGAACUUCCAAGUGCCGGCGGCAGGGGAUCAGGACGGGCCUCGUGGACAAACAAGGUGGUGCUUUGGGGCCAGAUGGAGAGAGGAGACAGCAGUCUGCCACCCUGGUGGCUGGUCGGGCCAGGCCCCAGAGGUCCUCCAUGGGAGGAGCCCAGAGCCACACUGGCCAGGAGGUCAGAUUCAAUCCUAGAGAGGCCAGGGAACCACUGGGCCUUCCUACCUAAGCAGGUCAAUGCUGAGACAACCGGCAAACAUUCCUGGCAAACCCUGUGCUUGCCACCGUGUGAGGGCACUCGAGGGACGUAGAGAGCCCCAGAAGAGGAGAGAUGGCGUGGGGUCACAGGAAUGGAGAGGAGGGCCCAACGGGCCAGGAUACGACCAUCCUGACGCAGGAGUACAAGGGACAUCAAGGUGGGAAUGGGCUCUGCCUCACUACCUGUGGGUGAUGGCGGUCUGUAAAAAGGCUUUUGGUUUUCUUUUUUUUUCCUGGUAGGGAAGGAGGCAAGGACAAAAAACAAAUGAUUAUCCAUUUUUUGAAAACUCUUAAUGUAAAGGGGCUUUAGAAACCUUUAAAAGAAAUGUCCCAGGUCCAGAUAAGACGUUAGCUGGGACUUCAGAGAAGUCUACAGGGAAGGGAGAGCAUUGCAGACAUGGGGAUGGCCAGAGAAAAUGCCCAGAGCUGAGAGCGGGAGGGUCUUGUCCCUGGAACAUCCAGGAGGCCGGGGUCCUGGAUCAAAGAGCAUGGGUCAGGGAGUGAGGGGUGAGAAGACUGGAAAGACUCUGAAGGCCAAACGGUGCGUUUUGUACAUGAUCCUGGCAGCAAUAGGGAGCCACAGGAGUUUACUGAGGAGGAGUGUGGCAUGACCAGGCCUGUGCUUUAGGAAAAUCCCUUUGGUGGCUGAGUGGAAGUGGACCGGAGUGGGGAGAGACUUGAGGAAGGCAGACCCGCUAGCAGGCCACGGCAACAGGGCCUGCACCCGAGUGGGGGCAGCAUCAGCGGCACACACAGGAGGGAGGGGCAAAAGAGAGAUGUUGGGGAAAGUGAAAUCUCCACAGGACUUGGCAGCAGCUUGGAUAUGGUGGGGGAAGAUGGGGAGAGAUAGUGAGGAGCCCAGGAUGAGGCCUGGGUUCGGAGCCCCAGGGACCGGGAGGAUGGUGAUGCCCUAGACACCCACCGGGAAGGCAGGAGAGGGAGAGGAUUUGGGUCUGUUUUGGACAUACCGAGUCUAAGAAGUCUCCUGGAAAUCCAGUGGGAGAGAGAGGUCUGAAAGGCAGUUGGAGAUUGGAGACUGGGGGUCAGCAGAGAGGCUGGGGCAGGAAAGGGAGAUUUCAGAAUCAGAGGAGCUGGUGAGAUCACCCCGUGAAGUGGUAGAGAGGGAGGAGAGCUGAGGAACACCUAGGGUUGGAGGGAGCUAGAGAAGGAGCGUCCGAGAGGAAGGAGGAGAGCCAGCAGGGCACGGUGCUAAAAACCCAGAAAGAAGAGAGGAUCCAAGAGACAGUGACCAGCAGCGUCCAAGGCUGCAGAGGUGGAGAAUGAGCACUAGGAGAACACCACCGGAUUUGACCAUUAGGGGAUCUGGGUAAUUUUGGCAGUUUCAGCAAAAUGAUGAGGUCAGAAACCAGACACCUUAGGGCUGAGAAGAGUGUGAGAGGAGAGAAAGCAGAGGCACCUGUUAUAACCGGCCUUUCUGAGGGCGGGGAGACCCAGGGCCAGUCACUGGGAACAAGAGGAUCAAGGAGGGCUCUGUGAGGACGGUGAAGACAUGGCUGUGUUUGCAGAUUGUAGGGAAUGAGCCAGAAGGCAAAGAGAGAUUGAAAAUAAGUGAGUGUGGGGACAGCUAGGUGGCGCAGUGGAUAGAGUGCUGGCCCUGGAUUCUGGAGGACCUGAGUUCA